CAAACAAUCAGUAGAGUCGAU
rnacentral:misc_RNA from 1 species